CAUUUCUCACUUCUACGUACACAAAUAAAAACUUCCAUCUCUUUUACCUUUAGGAUGCGUUUGAUUUGCGCUAUCUUUUAAAGAUUCUUAGCAAUUCAAUGGGAAUAAAAAAAAUAUAACGGUGUUUGGCUAAACGCACUAAGUAAUCUAGUUGGUAAUAUUGGAUUCACUUGGGAAUAAGAUUCACCCAAAGUACUAAUCUCAUUUCCUUGAGGGAGGGUGGGUAUCCUCAUAUUAAUGGAUUGAGGUAAUCAUAAUAUGUCUAAUCACUUUCUUUCUUCCUACCCGUCGGUUAAUUGAUAUUAUUUUUCUUUACACUCUAACCUUAUAUCUCUCUCUAAAUUUAUUUUUCUCUCUAAAAUUCAACUUUUUUUCUCUCUCUAAACAAGCUUUCUCUCUCUCUCUCUCUCUAAAAUUUCAACUCUCUCACUCCCUCUAAUUUUGACUAUAUUUUUCUUUCUUUUUUUUAAUUAUGCUCUCUCUCUCUAACUUAUACUUUUUUUUCUUUUUUCUAAAAAGAUGUUGAAACUUUUGGUGACAUUAUCUAAAAUAAAAUAAAUAAAUAAAUAAAUAAAUUGUAUAUUUUUUGUAAUAUUAAAUAACAUGGCUAAUUAAUAUUAUCGUGCGAACCAAACACAAGAAUUUCACAUUCUUAGUAAUAGGUUGAAUAGGAAUAAAAUUGUCGGAUAUCUUUUAUUCCUAGUAAUCUUUCAUAAUGCGAACCAAACGCACCCUUAGGCUAAGGAAGCACGGAAAGUAGGAGAGUGAAGGAUGUUGUUGGA
rnacentral:lncRNA from 1 species